ensembl:lncRNA
GGGAAGAGUUGCCAUGGUGACUAUGGCACGUCUUCAGUCAACAGAGAGGACAGCUUGACUAAAGGCAAACUCUCCUCUCUAGCUCUCUCUUUCUUCAUUACAAAAAGACCAUUCUCAUCUGUUGAGUGGACUUCCAAUUCAAUCCUGCAACAAUACACCUGACUCUCUGUUUAUAUGAAGCUGUGUGUGAGCCCGACAUUCCACUCCUGUCCGUACCUGCAGAGGUGAAAAUAAGACAGCGACCGACAAAACAAAUCAACAGCUCACAUACUGGAGCCAUAGAACAGAAAGACAGUACAGCCGGCGGGUUACGAGAGACAGCUGCAGUCCUUCCAGCAUGGAACGUGUUAGAGAGCUAAAAAUAAAUAAAUAAAUGAAAUAAAAAGAAUACA